GACGAACGCUGGCGGCGUGCUUAACACAUGCAAGUCGAACGGAAAGGCCCUGCUUUUGUGGGGUGCUCGAGUGGCGAACGGGUGAUUAACACGUGAGUAACCUGCCCUUGACUUUGGGAUAACUUCAGGAAACUUGGGCUAAUACCGGAUAGGAGCUCCUGCUGCAUGGUGGGGGUUGGAAAGUUUCGGCGGUUGGGGAUGGACUCGCGGCUUAUCAGCUUGUUGGUGGGGUAGUGGCUUACCAAGGCUUUGACGGGUAGCCGGCCUGAGAGGGUGACCGGCCACAAUGGGACUGAGAUACGGCCCAGACUCCUACGGGAGGCAGCAGUGGGGAAUAUUGCACAAUGGGCGGAAGCCUGAUGCAGCAACGCCGCGUGCGGGAUGACGGCCUUCGGGUUGUAAACCGCUUUCGCCUGUGACGAAGCGUGAGUGACGGUAAUGGGUAAAGAAGCACCGGCUAACUACGUG
rnacentral:rRNA from 1 species